rnacentral:rRNA from 1 species
AUUGAACGCUGGCGGCAUGCCUUACACAUGCAAGUCGAACGGCAGCACGGGUGCUUGCACCUGGUGGCGAGUGGCGAACGGGUGAGUAAUACAUCGGAACAUGUCCUGUAGUGGGGGAUAGCCCGGCGAAAGCCGGAUUAAUACCGCAUACGAUCUACGGAUGAAAGCGGGGGACCUUCGGGCCUCGCGCUAUAGGGUUGGCCGAUGGCUGAUUAGCUAGUUGGUGGGGUAAAGGCCUACCAAGGCGACGAUCAGUAGCUGGUCUGAGAGGACUACCAGCCACACUGGGACUGAGACACGGCCCAGACUCCUACGGGAGGCAGCAGUGGGGAAUUUUGGACAAUGGGCGAAAGCCUGAUCCAGCAAUGCCGCGUGUGUGAAGAAGGCCUUCGGGUUGUAAAGCACUUUUGUCCGGAAAGAAAUCCUUGGCCCUAAUACGGUCGGGGGAUGACGGUACCGGAAGAAUAAGCACCGGCUAACUACGUG